CUCAACUUUAUAUUUUGAACCAAUUUGCUGAAUGGUGGGAGGAGAGUUCAAAAAGAACCUCCGCACUGAAAUGGCACAUUCACCUUGUGUUUGUAACUUGCACACAGGAACUGGAUUAUAAAUUCCUCCCCAUAUACACAACAACACCCUCUUCCUAAUUCUAUUUGUCAGAUUUUAAUUUCUUUUCUCCUCCUUACUACAUUUCCCCUUUAAAUGUAUUCUUCACUCCUCAUUCAGCUACCUUUUAUCAACCCUCUCCUCAUCCCAUCUCGUGGUUUCAUCCAUUUCCCAUCCCCUAAAGACACAGUCCUUUACCAAUUUUUAUUUCAGAUACCUUUCCCCAUGAGUAAACCUCUCAUUACUCCCAUUAUAACUGUAAGGGUUCAUAUAGUAUUAAAUUGUAAUCCUUUAUGUUGGCCUUAUACCAUGCCAGGCAGUUACUAUGGUUAACCCCAAAGUCACCCAUGUUGUCAAUCCGGGAUGGACUGCAAGCAGUCUGGCUCCCCCAGGCAGAAUUAGGCGCUGAGCCCCCCUACGAUUACAUUAACUGAGUAAAGUUCUGUGCCGUUUGGGUGGAACCUUUUAUGUAUUAAAGGACCACUAUAGUGCCAGGAAAACAUACUCUUUUUUCCUGGCACUAUAGUGCCCUGAGGGUGCCCCCACCCUCAGGGUCCCCCUCCCGCUGGGCUCUAGGGGGAGGAAGGGGUUAAACUUACCGGGCGGGGAGCUCUUCUCCUCCUCUUCGGCGGAAUGCACAUGCGCGGCAGGAGCCACGCGCACAUUCAGCCAGUCCAUAG